rnacentral:rRNA from 1 species
CCUACGGGAGGCAGCAGCGGGGAAUUUUGGACAAUGGGCGCAAGCCUGAUCCAGCCAUUCCGCGUGAGUGAAGAAGGCCUUCGGGUUGUAAAGCUCUUUCGCAAGGGAAGAAACGAUAUAGACGAAUAAUCUAUGUUAAUGACGGUACCUUGAUAAGAAGCACCGGCUAACUACGUGCCAGCAGCCGCGGUAAU